AAAUUGCUGAACUCCCCACAUAUAAGGGUGUGCUUGAGGACUUGACGCCAUAAACCCGUGAGGAGGCAUAGGAGAAUAUGCCUGAAAGCCAGACCAAUCUUGAUUAACUGGGCCAGCUGUAGUAGUAGAAGUUUGCUCCUGUGAAUUGGGGGGCUUUGACUCUUUUGCUUCCUUCGCCUCUUUUGAGGAUUUAUCCAUCUCACUGCUACCCAUGGCUCAACUGUACUACUUCAAAAGUUCCUCAAACCAUUCAUGAAAAAUUAUACAGACUAGUGAAUCUGAAGAACUGGGUCGGCUCAACUGCUAUAAAACUACAAUUACAGUCAACCACAGCUUAAAA
rnacentral:misc_RNA from 1 species